CGCCUGUUUAUCAAAAACAUGUCUUUUUGUUAAUUAUUUAAGGUCUGGCCUGCUCAAUGAGUGUUAAAUAGCCGCAGUAUUUUGACUGUGCAAAGGUAGCAUAAUCAUUAGUUUUUUAAUUGGAAGCUGGAAUGAAUGGUUGGAUGAGGAAACAGCUGUCUCAUUUUAAUUUUGUUGAAUUUUAUUGUUAAGUUAAAAAGCUUAAAUUUUAUAGAAAGACGAGAAGACCCUAUAGAGUUUUACAAUGAUUUACUUGAUUUUUUUAGGUUUUAAUUUUUAAUUAGGUUUAUUUUUGUUUUGUUGGGGUGACAUGAAAAUUGGUUUAACUUUUCAUUAUUUUUACAUUUAUUUAUGAUUUGUUGAUCCUGAAGUUUUGGAUUUAUAGAAUAAAUUACCUUAGGGAUAACAGCGUGAUUCUUUUAGAGAGUUCUGAUCGAUAAAGGAGAUUGCGACCUCGAUGUUGGAUUAAAGUUAAUUUUUGGUGCAGAAGCUGAAAUUUUAAGUCUGUUCGACUUUUAAAACUUUACGUGAUCUGAGUUUAGACCGG
rnacentral:rRNA from 1 species